UCCCACCUACGGGGGGCAGCAGUGAGGAAUAUUGGUCGAUGGGCGCGAGCCUGAACCAGCCAAGUCGCGUGAGGGAAGACGGUCCUAUGGAUUGUAAACCUCUUUUGUCGGGGAGCAAAAGACGCCACGUGUGGCGUUCCGAGAGUACCCGAAGAAAAAGCAUCGGCUCACUCCGUGCCAGCAGCCGCGGUAAUACGGAGGAUGCGAGCGUUAUCCGGAUUUAUUGGGUUUAAAGGGUGCGCAGGCGGAAGAUCAAGUCAGCGGUAAAAUUGCGAGGCUCAACCUCUUC
rnacentral:rRNA from 1 species